CAGUAGCCGCGGUAAAACGAGGGGGGCAAGCGUUGCUCGGAAUUAUUGGGCGUAAAGGGUGCGUAGGCGGUUUGGCAAGUCUUGUGUGAAAUCUUCGGGCUCAACCCGAAGCCUGCACGAGAAACUGCCGGGCUUGAGUAUUGGAGAGGUGAGUGGAAUUUCCGGUGUAGCGGUGAAAUGCGUAGAUAUCGGAAGGAACACCUGUGGCGAAAGCGGCUCACUGGACAAUAACUGACGCUGAUGCACGAAAGCUAGGGGAGCAAACAGGAUUAGAUACCCCGGUAGUCCCUGUCUCUUAUAC
rnacentral:rRNA from 1 species